AAAUUAAUUAAAUUGUUUUAUAUAAAAUGUUUUUUUUAAAAAAUUUUUUUUUUACAAUAAAAAAUUUUUUUUCCUUUUCUAUACUUGUAAUGUUCUUCUAAAGGAUAUUUUAAUCCUUUUUGAAAUCUUUUUAUGAUGUGUCCAAUAUUUGGAUAAUUUUCUGUAAAAUUGUUCAUCCCCUGAUGAGGAACCAUAUGGUUCGAAACUAGUCGGGAUUAUAAAAUAAACAUCAUAUAAAAUAACCGUAUCUAGGCCUUUUCAUUAUCC